UUUAAAAGGCCGCGUUUCUGUCUUUACACUAAGUAUCGACUUCAGUUGUCUUGGAUAUUUUGGUAAAGAAAAAAAAUAAGAAUGCAACAAUACAUUAAAAUUGCUCUCCUGCUUUGUCUUAUUGGAUUAGCUCUAGGAAAUGUUGCAGAGUACAACGAGCGAGCCAGUUACAGGCCGACUAUGAUCAAACGGGAUAUGUUCAGGCCGACUAUGAUCAAACGGGAUAUGUUCAGGCCGACUAUGAUCAAACGGGAUAUGUUCAGGCCGACUAUGAUCAAACGGGAUAUGUUCAGACCGAUUAUGAUCAAACGGGAUAUGUUCAGGCCGACUAUGAUCAAACGGGAUAUGUUCAGGCCACCUAUGAUCAAACGGGAUAUGUUCAGGCCGCUUAUGAUCAAACGGGGUAUUUUCAGGCCAACUAUGAUCAAACGAGGUAUUUACAGGCCGACUAUGAUCAAACGAGGAGACGUACAAAGCAACCUCCAACAGGCAAAAAGAUCACCAUUUAUUCCAAUUCAAUGGAAAAUACCAAAAUAAAGACAAAAAUGACCAGAUGUCGUAGAAUUGUUAUUUGUGGAGCAUGCACAUUGAUUAAUUAAUAAAGUAUUUAAUGAAA